GCCUACGGGAGGCAGCAGCCGCGGUAAUACGUAGGUGGCGAACGUUAUCCGGAAUCACUGGGCGUAAAGGGUCCGCAGGUGGCAUGUCAAGUCGAUUGUGAAAGCUCCCGGCUCAACUGGGAGAGGACGGUCGAAACUGGCAAACUAGAGUCCGACAGAGGUCGGCGGAAUUCCCGGUGUAGUGGUGGAAUGCGUAGAUAUCGGGAGGAACGCCAAAAGCGAAAGCAGCCGGCUGGGUCGAGACUGACACUGAGGGACGAAAGCGUGGGUAGCGAACAGGAUUAGAAACCCCGGUAGUCC
rnacentral:rRNA from 1 species